UACGGAGGGCGCAAGCGUUGUUCGGAAUCACUGGGCGUAAAGCGCACGUAGGCGGACUUUUAAGUCAGGGGUGAAAUCCCGGGGCUCAACCUCGGAACUGCCUUUGAUACUGGAAGUCUUGAGGCCGAGAGAGGUGAGUGGAAUUCCGAGUGUAGAGGUGAAAUUCGUAGAUAUUCGGAAGAACACCAGUGGCGAAGGCGGCUCACUGGCUCGGUACUGACGCUGAGGUGCGAAAGCGUGGGGAGCAAACAGG
rnacentral:rRNA from 1 species